AGAAAAAGAGGAGAGAAGGAGAGGAAGAAAGAGGAAGAAAAAGAGGGAGAGAGAACAGGAAUAUUGUUUCAUUCUAAAAAUGGGCAGAAGCUUUGCCAGCCUUUCCCAGGGUGUGCUAUUGUGUUGCACUUUUCCUGCUGGAGCCCUGGCUGCUGCACGUUCCAUGGAGACUCCAAUGCACAGGGAACAGAAGUCUCCUCCUUUAUUGCAGAAAUUAUCCGGAAAGUGACACUGAGCAUGAUCUGCUUCCAAAAUGCCACACCACAUGCCCAGCUCUCUCUGCCAGCUGUCCUGGCCUCCAGCAACCCCGCCUCAGCAUCCCCGUGGGAGUUUCAUGCAGAGAGCUUGCAAUAAUCAAACAGGAAGGGGAUGCAAGGCGAUCAGUACGUGGAUUUGACAAUGACAAAGUGGUUCACUCAGAUUCAAGGAUAUCAAAGAAAGGCCUAAGUACCUGAGAUCUCAUUUCAAAUCAGUUUGGAUGGUUACAUUUCACUGAGGUUGGGAACACAGAUAAUCAGAUCUGCUCCAGCAUUGCUCUAAUUUAGUUAAAAACAUUUCUAUCAAGGACAGGUGUACCAUGAAGUUACCGAGGCUUGAGCUUCAGGGACCCUGAUUCCAGGCCCAUCCUCAGGUCCUGGGGGGCACCCUGCAAUGUGUUUCUGUUCAUUCGAAGCAAAUAUACACGAUUAUUCCUUA